rnacentral:rRNA from 1 species
GACGAACGCUGGCGGCGUGCUUAACACAUGCAAGUCGAACGGAAAGGCCCCCACUUUUUUGGUGGGGGUGCUCGAGUGGCGAACGGGUGAGUAACACGUGGGUGAUCUGCCCUGCACUUCGGGAUAAGCUUGGGAAACUGGGUCUAAUACCGGAUAGGACCAUGGUUUAGUGUCUCAUGGUGGAAAAAUUAUUGUUUUGGUGCAGGAUGAGCUCGCGGCCUAUCAGCUUGUUGGUGGGGUAAUGGCCUACCAAGGCGUCGACGGGUAGCCGGCCUGAGAGGGUGGACGGCCACAUUGGGACUGAGAUACGGCCCAGACUCCUACGGGAGGCAGCAGUGGGGAAUAUUGCACAAUGGGCGCAAGCCUGAUGCAGCGACGCCGCGUGGGGGAUGACGGCCUUCGGGUUGUAAACUCCUUUCGUUAGGGACGAAGCCGCACCUGUUUUGGGUGGGGACGGUA